rnacentral:rRNA from 1 species
UACGUAGGGUCCAAGCGUUAUCCGGAAUUACUGGGCGUAAAGCGUGUGUAGGCGGCGCGUUAAGUGCAAUGCGAAAUCUUGUGGCUCAACCAUAUAGACUGUGUUGCAUACUGGCGUGCUCGAGGACGUGAGAGGCAAGUGGAAUUGGUAGUGUAGCAGUGAAAUGCGUAGAUAUUACCAGGAACACCAAUGGCGAAGGCGGAUCUCUGGGCCAUUACUGACGCUGAGGAGCGAAAGCGUGGGGAGCGAACAGG